rnacentral:lncRNA from 12 species
CAGAAGGAUGAUAAUCUGACAAACUGCAGCCACACCAUUGUGUGCUGUGCCCAGCCCCGUUUGUAGCAAAAGGGAAAAGUCUUGGUGCAGAAGUGAAGCCUUGAGCACUAACAGCCCCACUGAAGCCU